AUUCCAGCUCCAAUAGCGUAUAUUUAAGUUGUUGCAGUUAAAAAGCUCGUAGUUGGAUUUCGGGCCCAGGUGACCGGUCCGCCGUUUCGGUGUGCACUGGUUAGCUCGGUCUUUCUGCCGGGGACACGCUCCGUCUUAAUUGCCGGACGUGGAGUCGGCGAUGUUACUUUGAAAAAAUUAGAGUGUUCAAAGCAGGCUUACGCUCUGAAUACUAUAGCAUGGAAUAACACGAUAGGACUCCGGGCCUAUUUUGUUGGUCUUCGGGACCGGAGUAAUGAUUAAGAGGGACAGUUGGGGGCAUUCGUAUUACGGUGUCAGAGGUGAAAUUCUUGGAUUUCCGUAAGACGAACUUCUGCGGAAGCAUUUGCCAAGGAUGUUUUCAUCA
rnacentral:rRNA from 1 species